UCUUCCGCAAUGGGGAAACCUGACGGAGCGACGCCGCGUGGACGAGGAAGGCCGCAAGGUUGUAAAGUCCUUUUCUUGACGAAGAAUAAGCGCGGGAGUGGAAUGCCCGCGUGAUGACGUUAGUCGAGGAAGAAGCCCCGGCCAAUUACGUGCCAGCAGCCGCGGUAACACGUAUGGGGCGAGCGUUGUUCGGAAUUACUGGGCGUAAAGGGUGCGCAGGCGGUUCAGCAAGCCUGGUGUUAAAUACCCCGGCCUAACCGGGGAGUGCGCUGGGAACUGCUGGGCUUGAGUUCAGGAGGGGAAGCUGGAAUUCCUGGUGUAGGGGUGAAAUCUGUAGAGAUCAGGAAGAACACCGGUGGCGAAGGCGAGCUUCUGGCCAUGGAUUGACGCUGAGGCACGAAAGCGUGGGGAGCGAACAGGAUUAGAUACCCUGGUAGUCCACGCCGUAAACGAUGUGCACUGGGUGUUGGGDGAUGUAAGCCUCGGUGCCGUAGDAACGCGGUAAGUGCAC
rnacentral:rRNA from 1 species